rnacentral:rRNA from 1 species
UACGUAGGGGCCGAGCGUUGUCCGGAGUUACUGGGCGUAAAGCGCGCGCAGGCGGCUCGUCAAGCCUGACGUGAAAGCCCCCGGCUCAACCGGGGAGGGUCGUCGGGGACUGGCGGGCUUGAGGUCGGCAGGGGUUGGUGGAAUUCCCGGUGUAGUGGUGAAAUGCGUAGAGAUGUGGAGGAACACCGAUGGCGAAGGCAGCCCCCUGGGCUAACACUGACGCUCAUGCACGAAAGCGUGGGGAGCAAACAGG